UUUUAAGAGACUUGGAGAAGAAUUAGGAUAGGACAAUUGAUGAGCAUAUAUCAGAUUCAUAACGAAGAAUUUGAAUAAAAACUCAUAACUACAUAUGCUGGUUUCUUCUUGUUUCCAUUUCAUUGCAAUUUGAGAACAAAAGUGAAAGAACAAACGAAAAACAGGGAACAAUUUCUCAUGAAAAUGUAAAUUUUACAAAAAAAAUUUUCACCUUUUGUUAUUUGAACUACCAUUUUCAUUGCCCUACCAUCUGCUAAAUGCACAAGCCACUAGAUUCCUAAUUGCAAAGAGCCCAAGCUUCGCUCUAAACAAAGCCAAUCUCCCAUUACUAUUCGAUGGACCACCUGCAACCACUAUUUGACCACUCAUUUCAGGAAACUCUAAACCACUUUCUUGGCCUACACCAUCACUCAUACUAGCAUCUAAACCUUCAUUGUCACUACCAGCAGCAUCAAAAUUAACAACUAGCGAGGCUUUUUGCCGCUGCAAGCACUCCACAACUUCACUGCUCACUCCUCUGCAUUGCUUCAACUUGAUCUUAACCAAAUUCGGACAUCCCCAAGCAAGAGCUCGGAUUGCAACGUCUGAAAUAGCACAUCCCUUUAUACACAGCUUUUUCAAUGCCACGCAUUUAGCUGCAAUGCAAGCAAUCUCUUGAUCACCAAUGCUUCCAGUCCCACACAGCGCCAAUCGUUCCAGUUUCUGGCAAUUAGCAGCAAUGGCGGCCAAGCUCGCCUGCGUCGCAUCAACACCAAUCAAAACCAGCUCUUGUAGAUUUGGACAAUGUUUGGCCACUGCAAUUAAACCUUCAUCUCCAAUCCUAUUAGUCCUCCAUCCAUCUAUGUGAAGCUUCCUCAGUUGCUUGCAAUUCUCCGCCACGCAAACAAGCCCUAAAUUCGAACACUCUGGGGUUUUCACUAUAUGCAAAAUCUCCAUAUUUACCCAUUUCGAAAUCGCUGCAAGACCAAUGUCGCUCAUUUGAAUCCUUUCAAGGUGUACAUCAAUUAAUAAGCUGUUUUCGUUUCCAAUAAUUUGAAGUACCUUAUCCCAAUCACCCAAACACCGAAUAAUUUUCAAGGUUUUAAGAUUUUUAGCUCCGAUCACAAGCUGUUCAAAAGACUGACCGUUGACUAGCUCCUUCAAGCAGAUCGAUUUUAAAGACGAAGCCGCGGCCCCUGGGGCGAUCGUCUUGGCUCCGUCGUGUAUUCCUCGGAGCCGCUUAAUAGACAGAUCCUCCAGCGCCUUGCAGUGAUCCAGCACCGCAUUUAUGCCCAUGGUGCCGAAAGCGCACGAGCCAAAAGAGAGCUUUCUCAAGUUCUUGCAAUUUUCAGCGAAUGCGGCCAUACCGUCGUCGGUGAUUUCUCGGCAGCCGCGGAUCUUAAGGCGCUCAAGUUUCUGACAACGGACGGAGAUCAUGACAAAAGUGUCAUCAUUUAAGCUCAUGGAUUUGCGGUCACAACGCAAGGAGAGUUUAGUGACCGAAUCGAACCGCGUGAAUAGAGAAGGAAUACACGAAAAAAUCUCCACUUUCGCGUGUAGAGAGAGCCGGUGGCGGCUCCGACCGUCAACGAGUAACCACCGUCGGCAAACCAAGGAGCAGCUUUUCCGGUCUCCAGUAGAAAGGAAUUGGAAAAUGUACGCCAAACACUCGUCAGGAAUAUCCUCCGUAUAAUCAACAUCAGCAGUUGCUUCGUCAGGGAGCUCUGGCGAUUGCGAUGAAGAAGAAACAAUCGCCGGAGUUAAAACCCGAUUAGAAGAAUUGGAGGUGGAAGCUGACUGACCCAUUGGGAAAAUGAACGACACGCGCCGCCGUAAAUCAAAUAUAAUAUGUAUAGAGAAUCAGUUUCUGCGUUAAAGUCUAAUGUUUUGUCACUGGAGGUGGAAUCUGGAGAGGAUAAUAUAAAUGGAGAUCUGUAGAUUAGGUAUUCAAUUGUGAUUUUCUUACCCGGUCAAUUGGGGUGCGUGUUCUCUUCGCAAUCGCCAUCGUCGACUAUGCACUGACUUCCGCCAUGGACGCGCAUAGUUGGUGUGCGUUGAAUUGCCUAUGAUGAGGUGUGGGAAACAAAUCGCGGCCGUUGAAGUGCUGAAUUGUGGGGCCCGGAAGGUUAUGAUAUUUUUUUUUUUAGUGGAGGUUGAUCAUGCACGAACUUGGCGAUAUAAAGUAAUAGAAUGUGGUGUACACAAACACGAACUUGCUACACG
rnacentral:misc_RNA from 1 species